UUGCCAUGGUAAUGUGUGAUAAGCCAGAGCUGGGUGCUGGAGUUCCGAGACGUCAUAUCUGACGCCAUGAAGCCUGGAAGGAAACCGAGAGCAUUCUAGACCUGACAGCUGGAUUGAGUGGCAGUAAGAGCCAGGUGGAGGAGCUGCAGACAGAAUGCAGACAGGCCAAAUGUGGCCUUCUCUGCUGGUUUGACUGAUUCAGGAACUGUUGCACCCUUUGUUGCUGAAACCACACUGGUAUACACCAAAAUCUUCGCAAGGCCUACAACCCAGCUACAGGUGUCUUCACAGCACCAGUGAGAGGAUUCUACUACAUCAGCUUCACUGCCAUGAGUGUCCAGACCUCGUUUUACAUGUAUAAGAAUGGACAGUAAAUCAUGUAUAGUCAGGGAUAUAAUGCUGUCAGUUAUGAGACACUGUCUAAUGGAGCCAGUAUAGCGCUAGAGGAGGGAGAUGUGGUGUACAUGCGCAUCCCUGCAAGCAACAGGCUCUAUGAUAACUCAAAUAAUCACAUCUUCAGUGGCUCCCUGCUCUUCACUGUGAGAACAUAAUGAACGCUGUAAUGGUCUCUAGUGAAGAGUGUAUGUCAGGGCCUUUUGGAGACAAAAUGGCUCCCGUAUUAAUAAAUGCAUCAAUAAAAGCAGAAUUUUGUAUUAUUUAUGUUUUGCAGUCUGUAUGACAUCCUGAUGAAUGUGUUAAUUAGUUCAAUAUGACAGUAGCUCAGUGUUUCUGGUUGGUGGGAAGAAGGGGAGAAGAAGGUUUGGGAUGGAUGAUUAGGUUACAUUAUAUAGUCAUGGCAUAGUCUGUCCACAAGGCCCAAAUGUACCUAUCAAUUGCACCAAGUAAAACACAAAGUCAAAGUCUAAACAGAGAACUCUUAAUUUACGCUUUACCUCAAUACCAUACUCCUUAUAGUUUUUUUAACCAUUUAAUUAGACCUGUGACCUGUGUUUAAUUUUCAUCUGGGGGGAAAAAAACAUGUGCAACUCUGCCCCUGAGAUAGUUGCCAAUGAAAUCACCCAUAUAACUAAAUUGUUGACCGGCAAUGUUACUAUCCAGCUGAGAGUGUUGGUAUCUGACUGACUGUUUAUCAGUAUGGAUCCAAGGACAUACAGUAGGGAGCUCUAGAGACAUACAGUAGGGAGCUCUAGAGACAUACAGUAGGGAGCUCUAGAGAGAAAUAGUCUUUACUUCUUGGAAGUGGCCUAGAGUUAGAUGAACUACUGUGCCCUCUGGUAUCUGGACAGACAUCAACACUUUUUGUUGUUUUAUUAUAAAGAUAUUUCAAUGGAUAAAUAAAUUCAAAUAAAGGUAGGUCUUUGGACACAAAUGCCUUGAUCAGCUUUUAUCACACCGCUUUUCAAUAUUUUUUUUUACCUCAGUCUCCUCUUCAGCAAUUUAAUGCAUGUAUGCUCGAUAGGUACAAUAACUUGGGCAGACAACUUUGCACUCUUUUUCCCUAAUUAACGCCUACGCUAUAAUAAUAUAGAAUAUGACAUGUAGCAGAUGUUUUUAUCCAAAGCAACUUACAGAAGUGCAUGGAUACAUUUUCUUAUGGGUGGCCCCAGCGGGAACCAACCCACAAUCGUGACAUUGUAAGGGCCUUGCUCUACCAGCUGAGACACACAGGACCAACAUGAGAAAUAAAAGGUGACAUUCUGUACUUUAGCCUAAUUUAAAUAGGUUAGGAGGGCACCGUAGAGCUCAUCUCUGUACACUGCUCUGGGUUUGGCUCUGUGUCCAUGCCCCUUCAGGUCCUAUCAUCUUAGCACCCUCCCCAUUAUCUGGAGCAGCGUUUUCAACCUGAAAUCUGAUGACCUUGGCGACUGGCAACUGACAGACAAUGACGACAAGCAGUCUCGUAGCCUCAUUGAUCGAAAUGACCUGCUUUAAGGAAACACCUUCUCAAUUGUCUUCUAUUUUAUCAGUCUUUGGUUUUAUUAUUGUCUAGACUUCACCUUUGAGAACACGUGCAGCUUGUGUCCCAUGUUGUGGUUCACUACGAUGUGUGUUCUCUGUGUGUUUAAGGAAGGGAACUGAGCUCUGUAGACUAUCAUAUCUGAAAUUAGCAUUGUAUCAGAAUGAGGGGUGCUGUAGCUCUGCUUGUGUUGCUGUUCUGUCUGUCUGGGGCAUGGACUCAGGAGGAGAGUGGAGGGUGUUCUGUCUGUCUGGGACAUGGACUCAGGAGGUGAGUGGAGGGGUCAGAGAGAAUGGCAUCACUCAAUGGACAGGGGAACAGAAUGUGGUGAGUCAAUUUCAGAUAGAGACCCAUAGAACUGAAGCUACAGGCACGGCAGGCAAACGCACGACCACACCACCUGAUGUCAGGGCUGAGCUGAGAGCGCUGAGAGACAUGGUGGUUGAACAGAGAGUGGAGCUGUGGAAUUUGGGGGCCAGACUGCAAGCCAGUGAAAGUGAGAAUGCAGGUUGUGCAGAAAAGCUUAAUCUUGAAUUAGUGGGAGAAUCAAUAUGAUUAUUAAAGUUGCAUUGGAUUGACUGCCAGUGAGAGUGAAAAUGCAAAUAUGAUAAAGUGUAUCAGUUCACGUUCUACAGUGGGUUGGUCAUUUAAUGUGUCUCUCAGUUUUAACUGUGAGGUAACCAGUGUUUCUGCUGAUAUCAUUCUAGCAUUGGCAACAAGACUGAGUGCCAGUGAGAGGAAGGUGGAGGAGAAUACUGGCAAUGUACUUGAUUUAAUAUGUCAGAACAUGCCUUUAUAGAAAGCAAUGAAAUACACGUUGAGUACAAAUGUAGAGUAAGAUGCUGUAUGCAGAUUUUAGUUGAAAUAAAAAUCUGUAUUUUUUUGGCCCCCACAAAUUGGAAUAGUGUAUAUUGUUCCUCAUUGUAUCAUAGCAUGAAAAUGAAGGGCAAGGAGGAGGAGGUAAAGAGAGGUGAAACAUUUUCUGAGAACUUCACUUGUUCCCAUGUUGUUAAAUUAUGGUAUUGGAGAAUUUUUCUUCACUUUCAAAAAACAUCUCAUUAGAAACUAAAUAGGUUUAAUAAGUAAAGACCUUUUCUAAAUCGGAAUUUCUGCGUAUUUUCAGUGAAUUGUCCAAAAUAAGUAUACUUACUCUCCUGUG